rnacentral:rRNA from 1 species
UACGGAGGAUGCGAGCGUUAUCCGGAUUUAUUGGGUUUAAAGGGUGCGUAGGCGGACGCUUAAGUCAGCGGUAAAAUUGCGGGGCUCAACCUCGUCGAGCCGUUGAAACUGGGUGCCUUGAGUGGGCGAGAAGUACGCGGAAUGCGUGGUGUAGCGGUGAAAUGCAUAGAUAUCACGCAGAACUCCGAUUGCGAAGGCAUCUCACGAAUCCGCUAUUGACGCUGAUGCACGAAAGCGUGGGUAUCAAACAGG